UACGAAGGGGGCUAGCGUUGCUCGGAAUCACUGGGCGUAAAGCGCACGUAGGCGGCUUCUUAAGUCAGGGGUGAAAUCCUGGAGCUCAACUCCAGAACUGCCUUUGAUACUGAGAAGCUUGAGUCCGGGAGAGGUGAGUGGAACUGCGAGUGUAGAGGUGAAAUUCGUAGAUAUUCGCAAGAACACCAGUGGCGAAGGCGGCUCACUGGCCCGGUACUGACGCUGGGGUGCGAAAGCGUGGGGAGCAAACAGG
rnacentral:rRNA from 1 species